GGUGAGUAACACGNGGGUAACCUUCCUGUAAGACUGGGAUAACUCCGGGAAACCGGGGCUAAUACCGGAUGGUUGUUUGAACCGCAUGGUUCAAACAUAAAAGGUGGCUUCGGCUACCACUUACAGAUGGACCCGCGGCGCAUUAGCUAGUUGGUGAGGUAACGGCUCACCAAGGCGACGAUGCGUAGCCGACCUGAGAGGGUGAUCGGCCACACUGGGACUGAGACACGGCCCAGACUCCUACGGGAGGCAGCAGUAGGGAAUCUUCCGCAAUGGACGAAAGUCUGACGGAGCAACGCCGCGUGAGUGAUGAAGGUUUUCGGAUCGUAAAGCUCUGUUGUUAGGGAAGAACAAGUACCGUUCGAAUAGGGCGGUACCUUGACGGUACCUAACCAGAAAGCCACGGCUAACUACGUGCCAGCAGCCGCGGUAAUACGUAGGUGGCAAGCGUUGUCCGGAAUUAUUGGGCGUAAAGGGCUCGCAGGCGGUUUCUUAAGUCUGAUGUGAAAGCCCCCGGCUCAACCGGGGAGGGUCAUUGGAAACUGGGGAACUUGAGUGCANAAGANGAGAGUGGAAUUCCACGUGUAGCGGUGAAAUGCGUANNGAUGUGGAGGAACACCAGUGGCGAANGCNACUCUCGGGUCUGUAACUGACGCUGAGGAGCGAAAGCGUGGGGAGCGAACAGGAUUANAUACCCUGGUAGUCCACGCC
rnacentral:rRNA from 1 species